rnacentral:lncRNA from 1 species
ACCAAACAUUACCCAAAAAAAGUUUUGUUUUUAUUUUUUAGAAUAUAAAAUAAUUAUUGUUUAUCAAUAUUUUGUGCUUUAUUUAUUAUUUAAUAAUGGUUAAAGUGUGUGUGGUGCGAAGUUGAUUGAAUAGCUGAUGGAAAAAUAAAGAACAAAGGCAAAGCCUGUAAAAUACAUAAUUAUAAUUCAGUAUUGUAUUAUUUGUAUUAUAUGUAAAAAUUAGAGUCAAUCAAAAGUGUAGUAAACAUUUUUCGUAAGAUUAUUGACAUACAUGUUACAAAGUAUAUUUUUACAAUCCUUUCUAUAAAGUUACAACCUGAAUAAAAUUUAUUUUUAAUGAUUUUAAAGUUUGACAGACAUGCACAAAUUGUUGGCAUUUUUUUAAACAAAUAAAAGUAGGAAAUAAAUAAAGUUCUAGGAUGGUUCUAGGUACUUUCAAGAAAUAUAGUUAACUGUAAGUGCUGUAUUUUAAUAAUCUAUCAAAAAUCAAAAUCAUCAGGAUAAUAUUACGUAUUGAUUUUCAAACAAGAAUUAGAUUACAGCGAUGGUCAAAAGCAUUUAGAUAUUGCUUUGAAAUCUACAGAUAAGGCAUGGCAGUUUCGUUUUAAAGAACAAGAUGUUAAAGUUUAUGAUAAAAUUGUCAUCAGAAAUACUGUCCACUUGCAGUAUUUACAUAGGAAAAUGUUGGAGGAUGAAGCUCUACCUACUGCCUCAGGUUAAUUUAAAUUCUGAGUUGCAACAACAGCAACAAGCAAGAAGGGCACCAUUAAAUGAAUAUUAUACUCAUAAGUAUUAUUAUACAAAGAAAGAGUAAUGUUAUACACAUAAAUAUUAACAUUUUGUAGAGCAACAACAGAAUAAAAAACCAAAAUAUGAACACCAGCAACUAAAACAGGAACCAUUAAAUGAAUAUUAUAUACAGCAAUAACAGCAUCAAAUAAUGGAAAUAAUGGACCUUAUUGCACAAAUCAAAAACAAAAUUUCAGCAUUACUACUUUAUUGGUUAUAUCAAUAAUAGAAAUUGAGUUUAUCAGUCUAGAUCCUACAAGCAAGCAGAUCUAUCACAUAAUUUUAAAUGAAGAUUUAUCUAUUAUAUAGUUAAACCAUCCGAGUACAAAACAUGUUUAAAAUCCACUAUUCUUAAUGAAUGGAAACUACCAACUUGAGAGGAAGCUAAGAGAAAGGUUCUAUUGGGUGGACUACAAGGAAAAGGGACAUAUACAUGAGGAUCUGGAAGGGCUAUAACAUUACGUCUCAAGCCGUGGGACAAUAGGAAACGAAAUUCAAAGGAAAAUAUUACAAUACGUGGAUGCAAAUUAUAGUGCAAAGAAUUGAGAAAAAGAAUUAUUAAAAGUAGUUAUUGUUACGAUAGUUAAACCAUCCGACUACCAAAUAUAUUUAAAAUCCACUAUUCUGAAUGAAUAGCAACUACCAACUUGGGAGGAAGCUGCGAGGACGAUUCUAUUGGGUGAACUACAAGGAAGACAUGAGGAUCUGGAAGGGCUAUAAAAUUAUAUUAUUCCACGUCCCAAGCCAUGCAAGCCAUGUUGGAAUAGCUGGGAGUGAAAAAAGAAAAUAAUACUGCACACGAUUCUUGUCUAGAAGUAGUUGAUAUUAAGGUAGUUAAGCCAUCCGACUAUCGAACAUUUAAAAUCCACUAUUCUGAAUGAAUGGCAACUACGAUGGCAAAACGUAAAUAAAUACUUGUACAGUAUAAAAUUACAUUAUAUUGGCUUAAUUUUUAUACUAAAUAAAAU